UACGUAGGGUGCGAGCGUUGUCCGGAAUUAUUGGGCGUAAAGAGCUUGUAGGCGGUUUGUCGCGUCUGCUGUGAAAAUCCGGGGCUCAACCCCGGACUUGCAGUGGGUACGGGCAGGCUAGAGUGUGGUAGGGGAGACUGGAGUUCCUGGUGUAGCGGUGGAAUGCGCAGAUAUCAGGAGGAACACCGAUGGCGAAGGCAGGUCUCUGGGCCACUACUGACGCUGAGAAGCGAAAGCAUGGGGAGCGAACAGG
rnacentral:rRNA from 1 species